rnacentral:tRNA from 1 species
GGCUGGGUGGCAGAGUGGUUUAUGCACAGGACUGCAAAUCCUUUUAUACCGGUUCGAUUCCGGUCCCGGCCUC